GAGGGUAGGCCCCUCGGGAUCGGCUUUCAGGAGCGGGUCUCAAACCAGCCCAAGCUGGGUGUGGUAGAAGAGCCAUGGUGGUGAGCGUGGGGUCAAAAGCCGCGGACAUGAUCCGGGGCAGGU
rnacentral:ncRNA from 2 species